AUUAAUCGUGUAACCCAACCUGCAGCCCAAGACCAGAUACACACUGAGGCUAAGCAGGGCUGUACCUGGUCAGUACCCGGAUGUGAGACCACAUGGGAAAACUAAGUUGCUGUUAGUC
rnacentral:rRNA from 1 species